AGAGUUUGAUCAUGGUUCAGGAUGAACGCUAGCUACAGGCUUAACACAUGCAAGUCGGAGGGGGCAGCAUGGACCCAGCUUCGCUGGGUUUGAUGGCGACCGGCGCACGGGUGAGUAACGCGUAUCCAACCUGCCCGUUUACUCCGGGAUAGUCUCCUGAAAGGGAGUUUAAUACCGGAUGUGUUUGUCUUUCCGCAUGGGAGCG
rnacentral:rRNA from 1 species